rnacentral:rRNA from 1 species
AUACGGAGGGUGCAAGCGUUAUUCGGAAUCACUGGGCGUAAAGGACGCGUAGGCGGGUUGGCAAGUCAGAUGUGAAAUCCUACAGCUUAACUGUAGAACUGCAUUUGAAACUGCUAACCUAGAGUAUGGGAGGGGGAGAUGGAAUUAGUGGUGUAGGGGUAAAAUCCGUAGAUAUCACUAGGAAUACCGAAAGCGAAGGCGAUCACCUGGAACAUAACUGACGCUAAGGCGUGAAAGCGUGGGGAGCAAACAGGAUUAGAAACCCCAGUAGUCC